rnacentral:rRNA from 1 species
GACGAACGCUGGCGGCGUGCUUAACACAUGCAGGUCGAACGGAAAGGCCCUGCGGGGUACUCGAGUGGCGAACGGGGGCGUAACACGUGGGUGAUCUGCCCUGCACUUUGGGAUAAGCCUGGGAAACUGGGUCUAAUACCGAAUAGGACCCCGCGCUUCAUGGGGUGUGGUGGAAAGCUUUUGCGGUGUGGGAUGGUCCCGCGGCCUAUCAGCGUGUUGGUGGGGUAAUGGCGUACCAAGGCGCCGACGGGUCGCCGGCCUGAGAGGGUGACCGGCCACACUGGGACUGAGAGAGGGCCCAGACUGCUACGGGAGGCAGCAGUGGGGAAUAUUGCACAAUGGGCGCAAGCCUGAUGCAGCGACGCCGCGUGAGGGAUGACGGCCUUCGGGUUGUAAACCUCUUUCAAUAGGGACGAAGCGCAAGUGACGGUACCUAUAGAAGAAGCACCGGCCAACUACGUG